UACGUAGGUGGCAAGCGUUGUCCGGAUUUACUGGGCGUAAAGAGCGCGCAGGCGGUCGUUCAAGUCGCGUGUGAAAGCCCCCGGCUCAACUGGGGAGGGUCACGCGAUACUGAUCGACUCGAAGGCAGGAGAGGGAAGUGGAAUUCCCGGUGUAGUGGUGAAAUGCGUAGAUAUCGGGAGGAACACCUAUGGCGAAGGCAGCUUGCUGGGACGGUACUGACGCUGAGACGCGAAAGCGUGGGGAGCAAACAGG
rnacentral:rRNA from 1 species